CAGUCGCCACGGUAAUACGUAGGGUGCAAGCGUUAAUCGGAGUUACUGGGCGUAAAGCGUGCGCAAGCGGUUUUGUAAGACAGAGGUGAAAUCCCCGGGCUCAACCUGGGAACUGCCUUUGUGACUGCAAGGCUGGAGUGCGGCAGAGGGGGAUGGAAUUCCGCGUGUAGCAGUGAAAUGCGUAGAUAUGCGGAGGAACACCGAUGGCGAAGGCAAUCCCCUGGGCCUGCACUGACGCUCAUGCACGAAAGCGUGGGGAGCAAACAGGAUUAGAUACCCCCGUAGUCCCUGUCUCUUAUAA
rnacentral:rRNA from 1 species